CGGCGGACGGGUGAGUAACGCGUGGGUAACCUGCCUCAUACAGGGGGAUAACAGUUAGAAAUGACUGCUAAUACCGCAUAAGACCACAGCACCGCAUGGUGCAGGGGUAAAAACUCCGGUGGUAUGAGAUGGACCCGCGUCUGAUUAGCUAGUUGGUAAGGUAACGGCUUACCAAGGCGACGAUCAGUAGCCGACCUGAGAGGGUGACCGGCCACAUUGGGACUGAGACACGGCCCAG
rnacentral:rRNA from 1 species